rnacentral:rRNA from 1 species
UUCCGGUUGAUCCCGCCAGACCCGACUGCUAUUUGGGUGAGGAUAAGCCAUGCGAGUCGAAUGGGAUACCUAAAUUUCCCAUGGCAGACUGCUCAAUAACACAUGAUCAACUUACCCUAUAGAGAAAAAUAACCUCGGGAAACUGAGGAUAAUGUUUCAUAGUUGAAAAGGCUUGGAAAAGUUUUUCGACCAAAAGGAUAAGAAAAAUGGUUUUUAUCCGCUAUAGGAUAGGAUCGUGGUCGAUUAUGGUCGUUGGUGAGGUAAUGGCUCACCAAGCCGAUAAUCGAUAGGGGCCGUGAGAGCGGGAGCCCCGAGAUGGGUACUGAGACAACGACCCAGGUCUUACGAGACGCAGCAGGCGCGGAACCUCAGCAAUACACGAAAGUGCGACUGGGUUACCCAAAGUGUUCAAUUUUGAACUGUGGUAGGUGAGUAAUGUCCCCUACUAGAAAGGAGAGGGCAAGGCUGGUGCCAGCCGCCGCGGUAAAACCAGCUCUUCAAGUGGUCGGGAUAAUUAUUGGGCUUAAAGUGUCCGUAGCCGGUUUAGUAAGUUCCUGGUAAAAUCGGGUAGCUUAACUAUCUGCAUGCUAGGAAUACUGCUAUACUAGAGGGCGGGAGAGGUCUGAGGUACUACAGGGGUAGGGGUGAAAUCUUAUAAUCCUUGUUGGACCACCAGUGGCGAAGGCGUCAGACUGGAACGUGCCUGACGGUGAGGGACGAAAGCCAGGGGAGCGAACCGGAUUAGAUACCCGGGUAGUCCUGGCCGUAAACGAUGCAUACUAGGUGAUGGCAUGGCCAUGAGCCGUGUCAGUGCCGUUGGGAAACCGUUAAGUGUGCCGCCUGGGAAGUACGGUCGCAAGGCUAAAACUUAAAGGAAUUGGCGGGGGAGCACCACAAGGGGUGAAGCCUGCGGUUCAAUUGGAUUCAACGCCGGGAA